CUAUUAAUUACAGAUUGAUAAUUUAUAUUAGAACUUUAUAUGAGUUUCACCUUGAUCUUCCUUUAGGUUUCAUUUUUAAAAGCUAAAACUGAAUUACUAACACACAAUACAGCUGAUGGUAUUAUUAAUUAUUCUCAUAAUUAGAAGUAUAUAAAAUUAGCCUUUAGCAACAAUACAAAAUUUGGAUCAUUAUUCUCACUUAUAAAUAACAUAGCAUGUUUUAUAAGGAGGAUUUUAUAGAUUUAAUAAUUGACUUUUUAAAAGUUUUAUUUAUUUUUGUAAUUUCUACAUCCCACAUGAGGCUGGAACUCACAACCCCACCAUCAAGAUUCUCAGGCUCUUCUGACUGAGCCAGCCAGGCGUGCCCCCCCAAUAACUGACUUAUUUUAAGAGAGUCUAUAGCGCAACAUUGAGACAAAUGGGUCCAUGUUAUUCCUGAAUUAUGUAAUUUCCAUACAAAGUAUCACUUUUAUGUGUUUUAAGAUGUAAUCAAUUCAUUUAAAAAUGUAUUUAAUUCACAGCACAGUGUAUAUAAAAUUAUAGCUGCUGAUGAGCACUUACAUAAAAGUCAUGGCAGUCAUUACUCUAGUUGACAUUUAAUUAGCACCUUAUUUUGACAAAUCCUUUAACGAAUUGUUGCCACAUAAGAGGGCAUAUAUUUCAGAAAACAAAAUCGCUCCCUGGAGAGGCUGCUAAUUACGAAGAGCAUAUAUUAAACGCACUUCCUAUGUGAGGCGCUGAUUUGCAUACGCACCUAUACAGUCGUUGUUGUGGGAGAGGAUGAAACCGUGGUUGCAGCGGCAGUUGAAGGAACCGAUCGUGUUGCGGCAAGUUCCAUUCCCACAGGCGUCUCGCUCACACUCAUUUAUGUCUAGUAGGAACAAAGGCCGUAGAGAAACGUGGUCGUUAACAGAAGAGAUAAGUUAUCGGUGAUCCUAAACCAGAAAGCUAUUGCUGACCCCAAAGUGAUCCAGUAUGUGUGUGUCUGUGGUUGAAGACUGCAUCCACGAUCUACAAAUUUGCCUCUGAGUAUAUGGUACAAACCAUGGAUCCUUCUCAAAAAAUACUCAUAUUCAAACACUCAAAAGCUGCACUCUAUUCCAAUAAGGCAAACCCAUAGAC